AUUGAACGCUGGCGGCGUGCCUAACACAUGCAAGUCGAGCGGUAACAGGUGUAGCAAUACAUGCUGACGAGCGGCGAACGGGUGAGUAAUGCUUCGGAAUCUACCCAAUGGUGGGGAAUAACCAGCCGAAAGGUUGGCUAAUACCGCAUACGUCCCACGGGAGUAAAGCAGGGGAUCGCAAGACCUUGCGCCAAUGGAUGAGCCGAAGUCGAUUAGCUAGUUGGAGGGUACGGCUACCAAGGCGACGAUCCGUAGCUGGUCUGAGAGGACGACCAGCCACACUGGGACUGAGACACGGCCCAGACUCCUACGGGAGGCAGCAGUGGGGAAUNUUGGACAAUGGGGGAAACCCUGAUCCAGCGACGCCGCGUGUGUGAAGAAGGCCU
rnacentral:rRNA from 1 species